rnacentral:rRNA from 1 species
UACGUAGGGGGCAAGCGUUGUCCGGAAUCACUGGGCGUAAAGCGCACGUAGGCGGCUUGUUAAGUCAGGGGUGAAAUCCUGGAGCUCAACUCCAGAACUGCCUUUGAUACUGGCGAGCUUGAGUUCGGGAGAGGUGAGUGGAACUGCGAGUGUAGAGGUGAAAUUCGUAGAUAUUCGCAAGAACACCAGUGGCGAAGGCGGCUCACUGGCCCGAUACUGACGCUGAGGUGCGAAAGCGUGGGGAGCAAACAGG